rnacentral:rRNA from 1 species
UCGGAGCGAAGAUCUGGGUCACCUCCCACCCGUGUUUAUUUUACCUUGUUGCUUCGGCGGGCCCGCCUUAACUGGCCGCCGGGGGGCUUACGCCCCCGGGCCCGCGCCCGCCGAAGACACCCUCGAACUCUGUCUGAAGAUUGAAGUCUGAGUGAAAAUAUAAAUUAUUUAAAACUUUCAACAACGGAUCUCUUGGUUCCGGCAUCGAUGAAGAACGCAGCGAAAUGCGAUACGUAAUGUGAAUUGCAAAUUCAGUGAAUCAUCGAGUCUUUGAACGCACAUUGCGCCCCCUGGUAUUCCGGGGGGCAUGCCUGUCCGAGCGUCAUUGCUGCCCUCAAGCCCGGCUUGUGUGUUGGGCCCCGUCCCCCGAUCUCCGGGGGACGGGCCCGAAAGGCAGCGGCGGCACCGCGUCCGGUCCUCGAGCGUAUGGGGCUUUGUCACCCGCUCUGUAGGCCCGGCCGGCGCUUGCCGAUCAACCCAAAUUUUUAUCCAGGUUGACCUCGGAUCAGGUAGGGAUACCCGCUGAACUUAA